GGGGGGAGCGAGCGUUGUUCGGAAUCACUGGGCGUAAAGGGCGUGUAGGCGGUUCGGGUAAGUGAGAUGUGAAAGCCCCCCGGGCUCACCCCGGGGAGGUGCAUUUCAUACUGCCAGACUUGAGUGCGGAAGAGGAUGGGGGAAUUCCUGGUGUAGCGGUGAAAUGCGUAGAUAUCAGGAGGAACACCGGUGGCGAAGGCGCCCAUCUGGUCCGUUACUGACGCUGAUGCGCGAAAGCUAGGGGAGCGAACGGGAUUAGAUACCCCGGUAGUCCUAGCCGUAAACGGUGGGCACUAGGUGUUGGAGGCAUCGACCCUUCCAGUGCCGCAGCUAACGCAUUAAGUGCCCCGCCUGGGGAGUACGGUCGCAAAGACUG
rnacentral:rRNA from 1 species